GGACCCGCAACUCUGAGCCUCACCGUGCGCCAGCAUCCCGCGGGCCCUGAAGGCGCCCUGGCCUGCCCGGGGAGACCCCAGCCUAGGCUGAAGCCCGACGCGGGGGUCGAGGGAGGUUGUAGGUGACUUAGAUAAACCCUCCAAGAUUUAACUUCGUCGGAAACCAUCAGCAGAGCGGGUGGAGGAGAAGGCGAAGAUGCGGCCAGUGCGCAGCGAGUUUCCCUGGCAAGGCAAGUCAGUGAUGGCUCCGAACCGAUUAGGAUGCCAUCUAGACAGCCUUGGGUGAAACCGACCAGAGCUGCGAGCCGGCCACCCACUUCCCCCAGCUGCAGAGGUCGCGGCUGCAACUGUCUGAGCAACCUAAUCCUUACAAAAGGAAGGUCGGAAGGACAAAAACAAACAAAAAAGGAAACCGAAAUGUACAAAUUCAGAAAUAUCUUUUGCGCGGCCUCGGUUGUCCAGCCCCAGAGGCAGUCCGCGGGCCUCAGGAAGAGACGACACCGCAGCUUAGGAGGCUGGGCCGGCGAAGACAAGUGCACGUGUGUAUGGGCGCACAGGGGAGGGUGGCGGCUCCAGGGGCCGCCCUCCGCAGUCUUCUUGAAGUAGCCUCUUAAAUGAGCCUAAUUUCGAUCCCACUGCCCGCCAGGGCUGGCUCUUCGGCUCCCUCAGCGCUGCUGCUCGCAGCCUUUCACCCUCCCCCGGCCAAGACUUGUCCUGAUGCGUCCGUUCCCCGGUGUCUCAUUGGAACCUCCCUGGGGGAAAGGGUGGGGGAAGAACAACUCCCAGCCGCCAGUUCCAUUUGUUGCGCUUUUUUCCU